UACGUAGGGGGCAAGCGUUGUCCGGAAUUAUUGGGCGUAAAGAGCGCGUAGGCGGUCCGAUAAGUCGGCUGUGAAAGUCAGGGGCUCAACCCUUGAAAGCCGGCCGAUACUGUCGGACUAGAGUCCGGAAGAGGCAAGUGGAAUUCCCGGUGUAGCGGUGAAAUGCGCAGAUAUCGGGAGGAACACCAAUGGCGAAGGCAGCUUGCUGGGACGGUACUGACGCUGAGGCGCGAAAGCG
rnacentral:rRNA from 1 species